GGUACAGGUCUUGUUGCCUGUGGGGGUUGGGGAAGACUGUGAGGGCAGUCACAGGGGCUGAGAGCUCUGUCCCCAAACCCAGUUCCAGAUUCGUCCCAGAGCUUUACCACCAGGCUCCUCCAUCCACCUGCCCAGUCCUGGUGAGCGAGCUUCAGCUAAAGGCUCAGCCCACAGCAGAGCACUCCAGGCCCCGGGGCUCCGCCUUUGGCUACAUACUCCACAUGCUCCCGGCCAUCCCAGCACAGGCUGCACCCUUGCCCUCCUUCCUCUGCCACAUCCCAGAAACCUUCCAGGUCAUUUUCUCCAGGAAGCUUUCCACAGCCACAGCAUCAGCCCUCCUCUAGCACUAAAUGUCUUUGUCACUCCAAAGCAGGAGCUCCCCAGGGCAGGGCCUGCCUUAUCGGUCUCACUGGAUUUCAUGGUUCUUGGGGAAGGCUUGGAAGCCAGCUGUGCCUCAGCCCUUUCUCUUGUCUCUGCAUCUAAAAGAAUAAAAUCUGUACCCCAGACCUGCUCCU
rnacentral:antisense_RNA from 1 species